rnacentral:tRNA from 2 species
AAAAGUUAGUUAAAUUAUAACAUAAAUAUGUCAUGUUUAAAUUAUCAAAAAAUUGAUACUUUUU